UACGUAGGGUGCGAGCGUUGUCCGGAAUUAUUGGGCGUAAAGAGCUCGUAGGCGGUCUGUCGCGUCGGCUGUGAAAUCCCGAGGCUCAACCUCGGGUCUGCAGUCGAUACGGGCAAACUAGAGUAUUGCAGGGGAGACUGGAAUUCCUGGUGUAGCGGUGAAAUGCGCAGAUAUCAGGAGGAACACCGGUGGCGAAGGCGGGACUCUGGGCCGAUACUGACGCUGAGGAGCGAAAGCGUGGGGAGCAAACAGG
rnacentral:rRNA from 1 species